CACACCUGGCUAAUUUUUCAAAAACUUUGUAGAGAUGGGGCUUACUAUGUUGCUCAGGCUGCCACUGCUCUUUACCAGCCUUUCUUGCUCCUCAUGCUUUGACAUGUGAACCAAUCCCAACCAGUGGGACCCCAGGUGAUGUCUGCUGGUGGGCUUCUGGGGGUGUUGCUUUCUAAUAAAGACAAAGGAGAAAGUCUCCUUUUCUUUGGCCAGAUGUUAGGUCUGCAAUGAUAGUAUCUGAAGCAACCAUGUGGAUCCCAUGAGAAGAGCCUAAAGGCCAGGGCAGUGGCUGAGGUGGAGAGCCUGGCUCUUGUUGACAUCAUUGAGCCACUGAACCAACCCUGUGACCACAGACUUCUUGGCCCUGCAUGUGUGAGUUCCUGACCAUGGUGGGUGCAGUGGUCUGUUACAGCUGAGGGCAUCCAAAUUUUAGGAACGUACAAAACAGUUUUCCUCUUCCUGAGGGUCAGGGCCAAUGAUGAGUGGGGCCGAAGUGAAGAGAUAAACCCAAUUUCCUGUGAGGCAGACAGAAAGCAGCUUGUCCGUGACGCAGGAGCUCCAUGCUCUGGGAUGCAUCUUGUUGGAGAAUAGAUCCCAGCCUGAGUGAGCAGCCCACACUGAUGGAUUGGAGAUAGCAGAAAUAAAAAAUGCCUUCUCUUCCUUGCUCCUCAAUAAGUGAUUGCCUUCCAUUUCAGGCAGCAGAGUCUGAAUUCCCAUUCAGCAGAGUCUGAAUUCCAUGGUAGCAUGGAAAGGGGCACAGCAUCCUGGUUACAAACCUGAAGAGUACACAUCUCUCACUAAUGAAGCCAUCACAAUAUGGAGCCAGGUCUUCCCAUUUGAACGAGGAGAGAGGACAGGGUCACAUUUGCUUGCCUUUUACUGCUUACUCACUGAAUAGCAUCAGGGAAGGUUUACUUUAUGAACCUGGCACAAAGUAGGUUCUGGGCCUGAUGUUAACAACAUUCACUCUGCCCUCUUCACAAAUGAAAAGGUGGAAAAUUUCUGACUUCUGGUAAAUUCACAUUGCGAUGACUGUUUCUCUGGACACAGAUCUGGCAGUUCUCCCAUCCCUCAAGCCUGCUGUGAUUGAUUUAUUUUAAAAAGUCUUUCACGGUUUCAGGAGAAGAACAGUUGAAAAGCUGUAGGUAGAGGUUAAUUUGGUGUUCACAAAUCAAGUGAUAGUCCACUCUAUCUCAUAGCUCAAUGAAUAGUAGGAUUAGGAGAGAAAUUUAACUUCACUUUUGUAGUGAAUCCCUUUUUAUAUGUACCUUUAAAAACUUCUGCACUUCCUUUUUUUUCUCCUUUAGUGAACCUUAGCAUAUAAACAAGAUAACUUUUUGAAAAAGCAUUUUAUAUGUAGAGAUGAACUUUUAUAUUUCUCAGACUUAAAUUUGAAAGCAGGUAGAGUAGGCAAUUGUUUCACCUGCAUAACAAACUCCUUUACUUUCCCCUUUUUUUAAAAGGGUCUCACUGUGUUGACCAGGCUGGUCUCAAACUCCUGAGCUCAAGUGAUCCUCCUGCCUUGGCCUCCCAAAGUGUAGGUAUUACAGGCGAGAGCCACUAUGUCUGGCCCCAACUUUUUCUAGAAAAUUCUGAGAAUUGUCUAAUCCACGAACUCCAUCUACAUGGUUAGUGCAAGUCACCAUGUUACUACAAUAUGGCCUAAGCCAUGAGUACUACCCACUCUUCAGAGCCUAGAAUCCUGGAGAGAGUUUACCUCUAUUUCAUUCUGUCUCCAAAUUUUACAGUGUUUCUUCCUGCAUCUUGUGAAAACCUUUGCAGAUGGAUAUUCUGUUCUGAACACUUUUCUCAGAGGUGCGUCAUGCUGUGUUGCUGGAGCCUACAUCUGUGUAUAAUGUAACCCUUGUGACCUUAUAGUAAUUACUAUAUAAACUUUGUCGAUGCGUUACUAUAAAGCUGGGUAAAAGUUGUGUUAGGUUUACAAUAAACAUUUUUUGUUGCAUACAUUGUAUACAUGUUUAUAAAUUGCCUUGUUUUGAACCAGAGCCAGGCUUAUUCCCCUUCCAAAUGAAAGCACCAAAGUCUGGAAACCUCCUGCCUCUUGCUUCUGUUAUGCUUUGGUCUUAUCCUCUACCCAUGAAUUGUUUCAUUGCUUUCCACAUAGAACCCCAGCUCAGCUACUCCAACUCAAAAGCAUAGAGAAAUUAUAAAAUUCAAGAACAGAUAUUAGAAUGGAAAAUGAGUUUAACUUAAUACCAGCAGUCUCAUGUUUAAAGUCUAACAACUUUAUGUGUUUAUUUUUGCUUUAAUCUUGUCCUGGGUAAAUUUUUAGCUGUUCAUUUUUAUACAACACAGGAUCAGAGAUAGCAAGAACACAUUAGUCUCUACAAGGCUAAUUCUACCCCAGCAACCAACCCAUCAAAGCGACCCAAAUGACACGCCAUGCAUCUUGAGUGACCGUGCACUGCCAUAUACUCUGAGCUCUACUACAGAAAGAUGUUGAGAGAGAGACAACCUGGCUUUCACCAGCCUACUGCCGCACCCUUGCACAGCUGCUGGCCCACUUGGGUGGAGGUUUCCAGUGGCACCCUCCACUGGGACAGUCCCACCUCCCGUCCUGGUCCCCAGAGGCUCCAUGUCUUACUCCCCACCCCAUCCUUCAGAAACUAGGUGAGCUAGUAAAAUGGAGUAAUUAUCUUCUGCAGUUUGCUUGAGUGUUGGCAAGAAAUUCCCAAUCUCAUAUCACUUACUCUUAUAUGUGAGAAAUAAUUAUUCUAAUUCUGCCCUGUCCCAACAAAUCUAAGCCCAUUGGAAGAAAUCAUGAAGAUAACAAUUUUCAUCCCAUUGGGUCAAUAUUGAGUGUUAUAAUAUCUCUGAGGCCCCACUAGGGUGUAAGCCCCAAGCGGGCAGUGAUGGCGCCUGAGUGCUCACCGAUGGAUACAUUCACUCAGACACAGCCACUGCCUGGCACAUAGUAGAUGUUCACACACACAAAAGGAAAGAAUAAAAUAUACAAACACACUUACAGCAAUAAUAGUGACUUUCCCAAUGUAAUCUGUUCGUAAGAUUGAGCAAUCUGUUAUAAAUGCAAUGAUGCUUCUAUUUUUAAGAAAAAAAUUCAUACAUUUUCCUUAUACAAAUUAUGUAUGUGAGCAGAGUUUACAUUGGGGUCUUUUGGAAUGAACUGUUUAAUUACUAUUUUUCAGGUUUUUCAGAAUAAUCAUUUAUCUGAACCCACUAAAAUUUCUGUUUGUCUCUCUCUCUCUCUGUUUUUUUUUUUUUUUUUUUUUUUUCCUGGCUGCCCAUGAGAAUGCUGAGACACUAUCAAAUAGAUUUCAAUUCUGUGACCUGAACUGCAGUUGUGUAAGUGCUAUAUAUCAAAAUCACUUGCUUUAGUAAUUGAAGAGUAAACUGAAAGACAAUAUUGUAGAUGUUAAAGUUUCAAUGUGAACAUGUAAUAAAUUAAAAAGAACAAACACUGCUUUCUAGAAUAGAAGCAAAAGUUAUGGGUUUUCUACAUGGUCAUAUUUUAUUCAUUAUUCUACUUUCUGCACACUGUAUAUGCUUGAGAUAAAACAAUAACCAAGAUGAUAAAUAAAGACUGUUAGUUGUAGUCUGGGAGCCUAAAUAAGAGGAGUAUUCUUGCUUAAUGUCCCAUGGUUCUAGCUUUUCUCCACACAGCAGGAUUUAGACAUUUUCAUUACUACAUGAAGAAGUCAUCAUUUGUCCUAAGAUAGACAAAUGAGAAUUUAAAACUUAUACAAAAGACAUCUUUUUCUUGGGUUAGAGAUGUCUAAUACAUCAUUUCUACAGGAUUAAUUUUUUAAGUUAUAUGAGCAACCUGACCCAUUGCAUUAUAUGGAUUAGAAAACUCUCUAAGAAGCAAGAAUAUCAAAUCACUCUGUGGUUUGUUUUUGUGAAAUUGUCUGUUGUAAAUUGAGUACUCACUAGUAUUCAUGUUGGCAUUUGCAAAAUUACCACUAUGUUAAAACUCCCUCUCAGUUGUAGCUGUGACUAUGUUUAUCUGACUUCAGUUUUAUUGUCCACAAUUUGGAACAUGAACGGAACCUAGGACAGUAAAAGUGUUGAGGACAGCAAUAAAUGAGAUCUCAUGUAUCCAUUUUCAUCAGAAAAAAAUGGAAUAGGGACUGCAAUUUUACUAACUUCACAAAUAACUGAGAAUGUUCAUUUUCUCACUUCAAUGUUAUCUCCUUCACUAACAGCGUAAGUACAGAAAGCAUAAUUCAUGAUGUAAUAAACUAUAACACCUCCUUUUCUUAAUUUAAAAUAUUUCCUUUUAUAUUACUCUCCCUUGAUUUGGGCUUCUGUAUUUUCUAAAAAAUGCUUUACUUUACAUUCUAAUUUUGACCACACUGGAAACUGAUUUUACAGUUUUUUAUUAGAAAGUAUUCCAAACCAUUUUUCUUAAAUGUGAUUCUGCCCGUGCCAUCAGUCCUACAAAAGGAAGCUUUAAAAUUAAAGUGCUAUCCUCAUUAACAAAUAAGCAAAGCAUUAACCAAUACGCUAAGAGAGAAGCCCAUUUUUUGAAUGAUGAAAAGUGGUAACAACUGCCUUUUCUUGAUCUAUGUGCAAGUGUCAGAAAUUACUAUUAAACACAACCUAUAUAUAGUAAAAAUCUGAUAAUCCACAUUUCUUAUAAGCUACUUUUUACAUUUUUAAUGUCUGGGUAUCCUAAAGGGGUUUUUCCCUGAUACUUGACUAUUACAUCCGCCUUUGCUUCUGCAUGAACACAUUUUACAUAGUGAAUUAUCUAAUAAAUAUAGAAAUAUUUUGAGAUAAUGCAUGAUAUCAUAUUUAACUUAUGAACUGCCUCAUGACAAAAGGUAAUGAGAGCUGAUACAAGCCCUCUCCUGAAGUGGCAGCGAGUAACCCGGGCAGGCUUUGCUCUGGGUCACUCAACCCUCUCUCCACCACAGUCUGCCACCAGUGCCUUCACAGCAAUCUGCUUGUGCUCAAUGUCCUCGGAGGUUUUUGAGAUUAACUUGGAUUUGGCAAAUGUUAGGUGGGAUUUUGUGUUUAAAUAAUGCAAGGUUAUAGGACUUCAAGAAUAAAUGAAACCACAUCUCUAAAUACAAUCUAUACCUUUGCUGCAUGCUUGCUUUUUGGUGGCGCUUUGAACAGGGAAACUGUCUGUGAUGAUUUGUUAAAAUGAAUAGUUGCUACAUGCUCUCCUCAAAGUCCUUAACUUGGAUUUAUUAAAGCAGUUGUACAUAGGAUGCUGUGGUUAUUACUAAACACAUAAAAAUUAUCAAUAAUCAACCCUAGCCUCAACAGUUUGCUGUUCAACAGUGGUAAAAAUAACAAAUAGACAAAGCAUUAACAUUACUAAGGAUCAGCAAACAAAUUUACAUAUUAGAAAAAAUGUUUAGAAAUGCAUCUAUUGGAAGCCUCAUGGUAUCAACUGCCCCUUGCCCUUUGCAAUCCACCACCUAGCCUAAGAGAUCUUACUUUUAGUUUUUUAAAAUGUUUUGGAUAAUGUGCAGAUGGUGAGCUAUUCCUAAAUAUUGGAUGUAAUUUUAAGUUAAUGACUUUUGCCUUAAUUCACUCCGUACCGUGUUUUCGACUAGAUUUGUUUCAUCCAUUACUUUGGGGUAAUCUCUCAUAGCUUCCCAAACCUAUUUCUGUAGCCAAGAGUAACUGCUGUGGAACUACAGGAAGGCCUCACAUUUUAGGCAAGAGAUAACUUGCUAAACUUAAUUAUGUACAUAAAACACAAAAGGUGGGAUGAUACGGGACAGGAAUUUUAGAAGGUAUGAACUCUAAUUGAUUUCAAAUUAUUUCACUGAAUCCAGAGAGGACAAUAAAGGAAAGUAAAUAAGUGUUAAUAGUUUACAUUUCAAUUAUUAUAUAAGGGAUCAUUAGUUUUAAAAAUCGUUAAAAUUUCAAAAGUGAAUUAAAAUCAAAUUUGUGUUUUUCCUUUUCUGUGAUUUUCUAUAUAUUUUCAAAUAUCACAUAGUAAUGAAAUAUAAAACUAUUCAUUUUGAUUCAACCCGAAAAGCAAAGGUAACUGCAAAAAAGCAAUGGAAAGAUCUUGGAAUGAAUUUGAGACAUAUCUAGCUAUGGCAGGGCUCUUGCUCAUUAUUCAUAUAAAAGAAAGGGAUGGCCGGGUGUGGUGGCUCACACCUAUAAUCCCAGCACUUUGGGAGGCCAAGGCGGGUGGAUCAUGAGGUCAAGAGAUAAAGACCAUCCUGGCUAACACAGUGAAACCCCGUCUCUACUAAAAAUACAAAAAAUUAGCCAGGUGUGGUGGAGGCCACUUGUAGUCCCAGCUGCUCGGGAGGCUGAGGCAGGAGAAUGGUGUGAACCUGGGAGGCGGAGCUUGCAGUGAGCCGACAUUGCACCACGGCAUUUUUAAGUAGGAUUGUUCUGCUAUCAAUAUGAGGCUGCUGUUGGUCAUAUUAAGUCAUACUACUUCUUAACACUGCUUUUAUUAACAAGUCAGCUUCAUAUAUGAAAGGCUCAUGCUUCUAAGUUGCAAAUUUUACUGCUACUACUAAGAGUCAUCGUGAAUGAAAACACAGCAAUAUUUCAAUAUACCAGAAUUUCCCAAAGGGUGUUCUUUAGAACACAAGUUCCUUGCAGUGUUACUAGGUGCUACUCAAAAAAGUUUCUGUGGUCAAAUUAAUCUGGAAAACACUGGGCUAACUGACAGUAGAUAUUUGUUGUUUUUUUCUCUCCCCUGCAGGACAUUUAAAUUAGAGCCUUUAAUGUGCUCAUUUUUACUAACUUUCUAAGAUGGUAUGUGUUUUCCAAACUUAUUUGAUACUAGAAUCCUAUAUUUAGAAGAGCAUCUUUGGAACUUGUGUUCUUUGGAACACACUUUGGGAAACACUGGAUUCUAUUAUUUCUAUAGCUAACUAGCUCAAAAGUCUAGAUAUCAAUGACUUAAUCCAGAGGCAAUUAAACAGGCAUAGUAUCUAACAAACAGUCAUGUCAUUUCUCCAGAGCUGGAUGACAAAUGCUGGUGCGACAUGCUAAGGCAAUUUGGGGGAACUAUUAGGGGAUGAACAGUCUAGUGGUGGGUCAAAAGGAGGAAAAAAGAAUUUCUGAAAUCAUUGGAAAAGUUUUAUACAAAGCAUAUAUUCCUAUAAUUUCAAAUAUACAAUGAUUUGCUGCCUUUUCUAAACACAGACCUUUCAUUGACACAGUUGCAAGAGAGAUCUGGCAACAACUUUUAGAGAACAAAAAAAAUCAGGAAAAUCAAGAUACACCUUGAUACACAAGUUCUUGCAAUGUUACUAGGUGCUACUCAAAAAAGUUUCUGUGGUCAAAUUAAACACAAAGGAAAUUAAAUGCAAAGGAAACAGUGGACUCAAUUUCCUAGAAUCCAACAGUGAAAUCAAUUCCUAGAGCCACUUCAGAUUAAAUUGAAAUGAUGAUGCCAUCACUCUCAUGCAAUCCUGUUUGCCAUUUACCCAAAAUGAUGUAAUAGUUAUACUUGUAUGAAAUAAAGCCCGUUUUAAAUUAUCCAGCUUGCAUCCUUCACUAUAACACUCUCUGUGUAAUAUUCUUAUGACAUAUACAAGAUUCAAGAAGCCAAUACCUCAGUCCACAGCAAGGAAUAAAAUGCAGCCACUGGUUACCAGUAAUAUGUACAUAUGUACACAGAUAUGUCACAUUAGAACAGCAAUUCAGAGUUAAUUGCCUUGGGGCAAGUUGUUCAUAUAAAAUAAAUACAGGUCUUGGGAACAGCUUUGGAGCUUUCUAUGUAAGUGUUGUUUAGUCCUAUGAUGAAAGAAUUGUAGAUACAAUUAAUUUAAAAAAAAAUUUCCCUAGCUGUCCCUCCCCCAACCUAUGUUAAGAGUACAAAUUGCCAGUGGAGCAGCAGCAGAGCACUGCAUUAAUGGAGACCUGGGCCUGGCAUCUUGCUGAGGUCUCAUAAGCACAUGGCCAUUCCCGUCUUCAUUUCUAAAAGACUGUAAAACCAUCCCAAAAUUUGGCACCAUGGGGACUAUUGGCAAUUCGAACUCGAGCUAGCUAGGGAGUCUAGGAAGCCUUGGGUGACAAUUCCAAAGCUUUGGCAGUGCUGCUUAGGGAAGCUUCACAUGCAAACAUCUCAAAUCAAUUUCCCUAAUGGCUAGAUUCAGCAUUCCCAGGUCCCUGGGGAGCAGCCAGUGUACCACAGGGCACCCCAGGAGUGAUGUCUGCACAUCCCCAACAGCUGGAAAAGGGCUAGGGAGAGAGAGCUCCAGAAGGAAGGGAACAAAAUACUCUGAUUUUAGAUAUAACUAUCCUAACUAUUAAUGAAACUGCUACAGUUUUGCCUAGAACUUCUAUCUUUUGAAAAUCUACAAGCCAUAGUAGGGGGGAAAGAGGCAGUAAUGGGAGUAGGAUAUAUACACUCUAUUUGGUUAACAUCAGAAAUGAAUUAAUUGUACAAAGCAAAAUUUAGAAGACGCCUUGUGAACCUCAGUUAGAGAGAAAGUUAUGUAACUCGUGCACUCAGCACCAUCUGUUAAGAAAUUCUGCAGGGCACGUAACCACUGAUUUACUAAUUUAGUAGCUUUUCUUUUUCAUCUUUAUCAAAACACUGCUGCUUUCAUUUUAGCCAAUAAAAAUAACUGUGGAAUUUAAAAAUGUCUUUUCCUUGCUAUUAUACAUUUUUGUGCUAUGUUAAAAAUAAAGAAAGUUGGCUAUGGGCUGUAACGUGCUGACACCAUUGGUGCUGAUUUCAGUUCAAUGGUGGGUGGGGGCAACUCUUAGGAGUCAGAAUGUCCUGAAUUUCCAAGCAAACUCAGCCGCCUGGCCUGGCCAUCUCAGCACUGCUCACAGCCAGCAUUUGUUUUCCACAUUCCCUUCCCUGUCCCCACCCCAAAUAUUAAUACACACAUCCACAUAUUCAGUGU